UACGGGGGGGCAAGCGUUGUUCGGAAUUACUGGGCGUAAAGGGCUCGUAGGUGGCCAACUAAGUCAGACGUGAAAUCCCUCGGCUUAACCGGGGAACUGCGUCCGAUACUGGAUGGCUUGGAUUUGGGAGAGGGAUGCGGAAUUCCAGGUGUAGCGGUGAAAUGCGUAGAGAUCAGGAGGAACACCAAUGGCGAAGGCAGCUCGCUGGGACGUGACUGACGCUGAGACGCGAAAGCGUGGGGAGCAAACAGG
rnacentral:rRNA from 1 species